rnacentral:lncRNA from 1 species
AAAAAUUUUCAUAUAUCAAAAGACUCUUAAUGUCAAAGGACCUCCCCCCGCCAGAAAAAAAAAAAAAUUUGGAAAAAACUGUACUGUUUGAUAAUGUUAAUGCCCCUAAGAAAUGGUUCAAGCAAAUGCAUUAAAAAAGAAAAGUACAGAAUAGAAAACAAAAACAAUGAAUAUACACAGGAAAUUCACAAAAGAAAUCCAAAGGGCCAGUAAGCAUGAAAACUCUAUCCUCCAGUAGUGAUAGGAAAUGCAAAUUAAAGAAAAAAGAGCCAUCAUUUGCCACACAUCGGCUGGCAAAUAUUAAUGCUAUCCAGUGGUAACCCAGACAAGGAAAAAUGGGUACCUACAUUCUACCAGUGGUAGAAGCAUGAACUGCUAUUAUGUUUUGGGAGAGUAAUCUGGCAACACAUAUUACCAACAAAAACGAGCAACGUACUUUAAUCCAGCAAUCCCAUUAUGGGGAAUCUACCUUACAGAAAUAAAGGAUCUAUGUACAGUGAUAUUUACUGUGAAACUUUUAAAGUGGCUAAAAUUUGGAAACCAUCUGAAUAUAUAGAUAGAUAAAUAUCAAUAUGGAAACAACUGAGUAUUUUAUUGUACAUUCAUAUCAUGAACUAUCUGUUCUACAGUCCAGCCAGGUCUGUGGCUCCUGCACUGAAGGGAUGACAAUGAGAAAAGUUACAGAUGGCUAUGGUAUAAUCUCAUGUUUAUAACAAUGCCCAGACAUCUAUGUUUUGCAAGACAGAUAGUCUGGUGAGGCAAGAUAUACACCGUACUGCUACAGUGGUUAUCCCGGGGGUGAUUAAAAUGAUGGUGGUGGAGAUUAACUUUUUAAAAAAUCCUUGAAUUGUUUUUGGUUGCAAUAAGCAGCAUUUUAUUUACCUAUUUGACUUUAUUUUGCAUUUAAUUUACUUCAUGACUUUAAAAAAAAGGUGUCAUAAAGCUAAACAUGCUUUUCCGACUGUGUCCCCUCACCUCCCUGUCCACUGGGGGUACAGUCAGCUCCCUGUCCCCCCCCCCACAACCCACACAGCAGGUGGGUGGUACAUCUCUCCACCCCACACAGGAGUCUUUAGGUUGUUGCUAGUGACCUUUCUAUGCCUUACUCCACAUUUUCACUUCCAAGAUCAAGACUUCCUCUGA